AAGCAAAAGCCCAUGCAUCCAUGGAGGUACCAAGCAACACAAUUUGUACUUUUUAGUUGCAAGCAGAGAAGAGAGGAGGAGCCAACUUGCUUUGGUCUGUCUGCAGCUUCCGAGGGCAUUAGCAUUUUGACUUUGACGACAGAGGAAGCAGAUCGGAGUGGCUCAAAAUUCCCAAUCCAAGUCUCUGCUAUCUCGAGCUUCUGUUCUGCUGUCCUGAGGUGGUGCCGAGAUCUUGAACCGUUGGGUUAGAUUGAUCAAACUUGCAGCUGGUUUUCUCACAUAGUCUUCAGUGGAGGAAUGCAUCCCGAUUCCUGAGUAGUUCUUCUCGUCAUUUGAAGAUUUAUUAAGUUUCGCAGCUGCAUUGGUCUCUUGGCUGUUCUUGGACAGAGGAAUUGAUCAUGAGUCCGGUCCUGAGUUGAUUAUUGGUUAACUUUACGGCUGCUUUUCUUCAUUUGUCUUGGACAGAUCACGAGUUUUGUACAAUACGAGGACGUAAUGUGACACUUGUUGUCUUUGCUGGUUAUUUUUACGGAGAUUGUAUACUUAGAAGGGAACUCUGAUCCAAGUUUCUGUUCUCUCGAAAAUCUCUUGCCUGCUGUCUAUCGUGCUAUGUGGUAACAAGAUCUUGAACCGAUGGGUUAGAUUGAUCAAAUUUGCAGCUGGUUUUCUCGCUUGGUCUUGGGACGGAGAACGGUUGAAGAUUGCUUAAGUUCCGCUGCUGUUUCUGUGUCUUUCUCUUGGACGGAGGAAUUCAUCAUUAGCAGUUAGUACUCAUCAGUUGACGAUUGACAAAUUUUGCUGCUGGAUAUCUUUCUUCAUCUUUGUCAGAGGAAUUCAUCAUGAGUAGUCAUCUUGAGGAA